CCUACGGGAGACAGCAGUCGAGAAUCAUUCACAAUGGGGGAAACCCUGAUGGUGCGACGCCGCGUGGGGGAAUGAAGGUCUUCGGAUUGUAACCCCCUGUCAUGUGGGCGCAAAUUAAAAAGAUAGUACCACAAGAGGAAGCGACGGCUAACUCUGUGCCAGCAGCCGCGGUAAUACAGAGGUCUCAAGCGUUGGUCGGAAUCACUGGGCGUAAAGCGUGCGUAGGCUGUUUUGUAAGUCGUGUGUGAAAGGCGCGGGCUCAACCCGCGGACGGCACAUGAUACUGCGAGACUAGAGUGAUGGAGGGGGAACCGGAAUUCUCGGUGUAGCAGUGAAAUGCGUAGAUA
rnacentral:rRNA from 1 species